rnacentral:tRNA from 2 species
GGGCGAUUAGCUCAGUUGGUUAGAGCACCUGCCUUACAAGCAGGGGGUCACAGGUUCGAGUCCUGUAUCGCCCACCA